GGGUUGUGAGGUUAAGCGACUAAGCGUACACGGUGGAUGCCCUGGCAGUCAGAGGCGAUGAAGGACGUGCUAAUCUGCGAUAAGCGUCGGUAAGGUGAUAUGAACCGUUAUAACCGGCGAUUUCCGAAUGGGGAAACCCAGUGUGUUUCGACACACUAUCAUUAACUGAAUCCAUAGGUUAAUGAGGCGAACCGGGGGAACUGAAACAUCUAAGUACCCCGAGGAAAAGAAAUCAACCGAGAUUCCCCCAGUAGCGGCGAGCGAACGGGGAGCAGCCCAGAGCCUGAAUCAGUAUGUGUGUUAGUGGAAGCGUCUGGAAAGGCGCGCGAUACAGGGUGACAGCCCCGUACACAAAAAUGCACAUAUUGUGAGCUCGAUGAGUAGGGCGGGACACGUGGUAUCCUGUCUGAAUAUGGGGGGACCAUCCUCCAAGGCUAAAUACUCCUGACUGACCGAUAGUGAACCAGUACCGUGAGGGAAAGGCGAAAAGAACCCCGGCGAGGGGAGUGAAAAAGAACCUGAAACCGUGUACGUACAAGCAGUGGGAGCACGCUUAGGCGUGUGACUGCGUACCUUUUGUAUAAUGGGUCAGCGACUUAUAUUCUGUAGCAAGGUUAACCGAAUAGGGGAGCCGAAGGGAAACCGAGUCUUAACUGGGCGUUAAGUUGCAGGGUAUAGACCCGAAACCCGGUGAUCUAGCCAUGGGCAGGUUGAAGGUUGGGUAACACUAACUGGAGGACCGAACCGACUAAUGUUGAAAAAUUAGCGGAUGACUUGUGGCUGGGGGUGAAAGGCCAAUCAAACCGGGAGAUAGCUGGUUCUCCCCGAAAGCUAUUUAGGUAGCGCCUCGUGAAUUCAUCUCCGGGGGUAGAGCACUGUUUCGGCAAGGGGGUCAUCCCGACUUACCAACCCGAUGCAAACUGCGAAUACCGGAGAAUGUUAUCACGGGAGACACACGGCGGGUGCUAACGUCCGUCGUGAAGAGGGAAACAACCCAGACCGCCAGCUAAGGUCCCAAAGUCAUGGUUAAGUGGGAAACGAUGUGGGAAGGCCCAGACAGCCAGGAUGUUGGCUUAGAAGCAGCCAUCAUUUAAAGAAAGCGUAAUAGCUCACUGGUCGAGUCGGCCUGCGCGGAAGAUGUAACGGGGCUAAACCAUGCACCGAAGCUGCGGCAGCGACGCUGAUGCGUUGUUGGGUAGGGGAGCGUUCUGUAAGCCUGCGAAGGUGUGCUGUGAGGCAUGCUGGAGGUAUCAGAAGUGCGAAUGCUGACAUAAGUAACGAUAAAGCGGGUGAAAAGCCCGCUCGCCGGAAGACCAAGGGUUCCUGUCCAACGUUAAUCGGGGCAGGGUGAGUCGACCCCUAAGGCGAGGCCGAAAGGCGUAGUCGAUGGGAAACAGGUUAAUAUUCCUGUACUUGGUGUUACUGCGAAGGGGGGACGGAGAAGGCUAUGUUGGCCGGGCGACGGUUGUCCCGGUUUAAGCGUGUAGGCUGGUUUUCCAGGCAAAUCCGGAAAAUCAAGGCUGAGGCGUGAUGACGAGGCACUACGGUGCUGAAGCAACAAAUGCCCUGCUUCCAGGAAAAGCCUCUAAGCAUCAGGUAACAUCAAAUCGUACCCCAAACCGACACAGGUGGUCAGGUAGAGAAUACCAAGGCGCUUGAGAGAACUCGGGUGAAGGAACUAGGCAAAAUGGUGCCGUAACUUCGGGAGAA
rnacentral:rRNA from 1 species